rnacentral:rRNA from 1 species
AGAGUUUGAUCCUGGCUCAGGACGAACGCUUGCGGCGUGCCUAAGAAAUGCAAGUCGAACGGGGGUAGCAAUACCCUAGUGGCGAACGGUCGCGUAACACGUAGGCAACCUGCCCUGAAGUGGGGGACAACAGACCGAAAGGUCUGCUAAUACCGCAUGUGGCCCUGGGAAGGCAUCUUCCCUGGUCUAAAGCAGUAAUGCGCUUCAGGAUGGGCUUGCGGCCUAUCAGGUAGUUGGUGGGGUAAUGGCCUACCAAGCCGACGACGGGUAGCUGGUCUGAGAGGACGAUCAGCCGGAUUGGGACUGAGAUACGGCCCAGACUCCUACGGGGGGCAGCAAUUAGGAAUCUUGCGCAAUGGGGGAAACCCUGACGCAGCGACGCCGCGUGCGGGAUGAAGGCCUUCGGGUCGUAAACCGCUUUUUCCGGGGAAGAAGAAUGUGACGGUACCCGGAGAAUAAGCCCCGGCUAACUACGUGCCAGCAGCCGCGGUAAUACGUAGGGGGCGAGCGUUGUCCGAAGUUACUGGGCGUAAAGCGCGCGUAGGCGGCCACUUAAGUCUGGGGUGAAAGGUUCAGCGCUCAACGCGAACAGUGCCUUGGAUACUGGGUGGCUUGAGUCUGGGAGAGGGUAGUGGAAUUCCUGGUGUAGCGGUGAAAUGCGUAGAUAUCAGGAGGAACACCGGUGGCGAAGGCGGCUACCUGGCCUAAGACUGACGCUGAGGUGCGAAAGCGUGGGGAGCGAACGGGAUUAGAUACCCCGGUAGUCC